GGGGAUUUAGCUCAGCCUCAUAAGCACCUGCCUUUCAAGCAGGUGGUCGUGAGUUCAAUCCCCG
rnacentral:tRNA from 1 species